rnacentral:rRNA from 1 species
UUUCCUACGGGGGGCAGCAGUGGGGAAUAUUGCACAAUGGGGGAAACCCUGAUGCAGCAACGCCGCGUGAGUGAAGAAGUAUUUCGGUAUGUAAAGCUCUAUCAGCAGGGAAGAAGAUGACGGCACCUGACCAAGAAGCCCCGGCUAAAUACGUGCCAGCAGCCGCGGUAAUACGUAUGGUGCAAGCGUUAUCCGGAUUUACUGGGUGUAAAGGGAGCGCAGGCGGCACGGCAAGCCUGAUGUGAAAGCCCGCGGCCCAACCGCGGGACUGCAUUGGGAACUACCGGGCUGGAGUGCCGGAGAGG